AACUAUAUGAUAUAAUAUAUAGCACUUUCUGCUCAAUGAAUUUUAAAUAGCCGCAGUACAUUGACUGUGCAAAGGUAGCAUAAUCAAUUGACCUAUAAUUGAGGUCUGGCAUGAAUGAAUAUACGGGUAAAAGCUGUCUAUAAAAUGUUAACUUAAAUUUAGUAAUUAAGUGAAAAUACUUACUGUAAUAAAAAAGACGAGAAGACCCUAGAAACUUUUAAAUAAAUUUUGUUGGGGCGACAGAAUUACAUAAAACUAAUUUUAUUAAACAUGCAACUUAUUAAAAGAUAAAGUUACUCUAGGGAUAACAGCAUAAUAAAUAAAAGUUUGUGACCUCGAUGUUGGACUAGGUAUGGCUAUUUUUAGAAGAAAUUGCUUUAAGCUCUGUUCGAGCUGCGAAACCUACAU
rnacentral:rRNA from 1 species